rnacentral:lncRNA from 1 species
CAGUGUUUAUUGUUCCCAUCUUGUGUCCCUGUGUACCCAAUGUUUAGCUCCCAUUGUAAGUGAGAACAUGUGGUGUUGGGUUUUUCCGUUUCUGUGUUAAUUCGCUUAGGAUAAUGGCCUCCAGCUGCAUCCAAGUUGCUGCAAAGGACGUGAUUUUGUUCAUUUUUAUAAAAAUGCCCUUUACACUAACUUUUUUUUUCCUGUCCAGGAUCCAAUUCUGGAUCACACAUUGCCUUGUUUUCAUGUCCCAUUUCUCUAAAAAAGUUACUCUUUUGUUUAGCUUUCUAGAAAAGUCCAUCACUGUGUUUGUCAUUACUAUCAAAGAUCAAUAAUUCACUCGGAAUGUUUAUUUCUGCAUUUAAUCAAACAUGUGUCCUGAAAGCAUCUUGGGUUUUAUGUGACUAUUUUCCCAGGUUCCUUCAUUCUUAUAGGGAGUCUCAAUUUUUCUUAGAGCUCCAUUAGAGAGAAGCAGGUGUUGAACUUGGAGAAGGCGUUGGAUUUAUUUAUUUUUUUCUCACAAAGUAAUAAAUAUAUAAUAGUCAUAAUAGUAACAAUAGUAACAACUACUGCCAUGUUUUCUUAAUUGGAAAACAUUUUGAAUCACACAGAUCCAUCUCAUUGACUAUCGCUUUUAUUGAAAUUUAGGAGGCAUUUACAACCCCAGGUCACUGAGUCAGACAAGGGACCCCACCAUUAGCCCCCAUUUCCCUUUGAGAGAUACACUGAACAUUUUUUUUCCUGUCAAUUUAAGGAACUUCCUUUAGUAGUCAUUUCUCAAAAAGAAAUUAUGUCUGCAUGUAGAAUACACACAUUACCCAGAUUAGCUUGAAAUUGGAUCUUGUUUAGACAAUCAAAACAUCUUCAGCGAUUCACUUCCCAUCGCUGAACUGAAAAAGUGAAGGUACAAGUAACCAUACUUCACACAUAAUUAUGUCAAAAAGUAGAGUUUUCCCCCUCCUCCAUCCCACAUUGGCCUGAUCCUCUUCCUCCUUUUCUCAGCCCUAGGGAGGUAUACUUAGGUAGAAGUUGACGAUGCAAAUUACUUUUACAUCAUUGAGUGUAAAUGAAUCAAUACCUAAUCCUGGAGUAGGUGACUUGGUUCCUUUUUUUAAGUUAUGGGUUUAAGCUGAGGAGGAAGAUUCACUGCAAAACCAAGAUAUGGACACUGCUACAAUGUGCACGUAUAGUUCUAUAUCAUUUUAAUCACAUGGGUAGAUUUUCAUAACAAUAAAUUUAAAUAAUUGUUUCAAGUUUCGGUUUUUGAGAACCCAAAAUUAGGUAGCAAGUAUUCCCUUCUACCAAGAUGAAUAGUAACCCACAAACCCCUGGUCGUUCCUACACAACAGAAAGCUCUUUGCAGAGAGAGAGAGAGAGAGAGAGAGAGAGAGAGAGAGAGAGAGAGAAAGCAAACCAACAGAGUAU